AGUGAACGCUGGCGGUAGGCCUAACACAUGCAAGUCGAACGGCAGCACAGUAAGAGCUUGCUCUUACGGGUGGCGAGUGGCGGACGGGUGAGGAAUACAUCGGAAUCUACUUUUUCGUGGGGGAUAACGUAGGGAAACUUACGCUAAUACCGCAUACGACCUACGGGUGAAAGCAGGGGAUCUACGGACCUUGCGCGAUUGAAUGAGCCGAUGUCGGAUUAGCUAGUUGGCGGGGUAAAGGCCCACCAAGGCGACGAUCCGUAGCUGGUCUGAGAGGAUGAUCAGCCACACUGGAACUGAGACACGGUCCAGACUCCUACGGGAGGCAGCAGUGGGGAAUAUUGGACAAUGGGCGCAAGCCUGAUCCAGCCAUACCGCGUGGGUGAAGAAGGCCUUCGGGUUGUAAAGCCCUUUUGUUGGGAAAGAAAAGCAGCAGGUUAAUACCCCGCUGUUCCGACGGUACCCAAAGAAUAAGCACCGGCUAACUUCGUG
rnacentral:rRNA from 1 species